rnacentral:rRNA from 1 species
UAGCGUAGGGGGCAAGCGUUUGUCCGGAAUUAUUGGGCGUAAAGAGCUCGUAGGCGGUCUGUCGCGUCUGCUGGUGAAAACCUCGGGGGCUUAACCCCGGGCCUGCAGUGGGUACGGGCAGACUAGAGUGCGGUAGGGGAGACUGGAAUUCCUGGUGUAGCGGUGAAAUGCGCAGAUAUCAGGAGGAACACCGGUGGCGAAGGCGGGUCUCUGGGCCGUAACUGACGCUGAGGAGCGAAAGCAUGGGGAGCGAACAGG